UACCCCGGUAGUCCACGCCCUAAACGAUGAGAACUAGCUGUUGGUUACGUAAAUGUAGUCAGUAGCGAAGCUAACGCGUUAAGUUCUCCGCCUGGGGAGUACGACCGCAAGGUUGAAACUCAAAGGAAUUGACGGGGGCCCGCACAAGCGGUGGAGCAUGUGGUUUAAUUCGAUGCAACGCGAAGAACCUUACCAUCCCUUGACAUCCUCAGAAUUUGUCGUAAUGACUUAGUGCCUUCGGGAACUGAGUGACAGGUGCUGCACGGCUGUCGUCAGCUCGUGUCGUGAGAUGUUGGGUUAAGUCCCGCAACGAGCGCAACCCCUAUCUUUAGUUGCCAGCACGUAAUGGUGGGAACUCUAGAGAGACUGCCGGUGAUAAGCCGGAGGAAGGUGGGGACGACGUCAAGUCAUCAUGGCCCUUACGGGAUGGGCUACACACGUGCUACAAUGGUGCAUACAGAGGGUUGCCAAGCCGCGAGGUGGAGCUAAUCCCAGAAAAUGCAUCUUAGUCCGGAUCGCAGUCUGCAACUCGACUGCGUGAAGUUGGAAUCGCUAGUAAUCGCGAAUCAGCAACGUCGCGGUGAAUACGUUCCCGGGCCUUGUACACACCGCCCGU
rnacentral:rRNA from 1 species